GACGAACCGAGCGAACGUUGUUCGGAAUCACUGGGCUUAAAGGGCGCGUAGGCGGGUGCUCAAGUCCGUGGUGAAAUCCUCCGGCUCAACCGGAGAACUGCCUCGGAUACUGGGCGCCUCGAGGGUGGUAGGGGUAUGCGGAACUAUCGGUGGAGCGGUGAAAUGCGUUGAUAUCGAUAGGAACUCCGGUGGCGAAGGCGGCAUACUGGACCACCUCUGACGCUGAGGCGCGAAAGCCAGGGGAGCAAACGGG
rnacentral:rRNA from 1 species